GUGCUGCUACGGUGGUACAUAUUCUAAAAUUGGAACAAUACAGAGAAGAUUAGCAUGGCCCCCUGUGCAAGGAUGACACACAAAUUUGUGAAGCAUUCCAUAUUUUU